rnacentral:lncRNA from 1 species
UCAUUUCUCUUGGUCAGCCAAAGGAAGAAAAGGGAAGAAAAGAAGAAGAACAAAACCCUAGCUAAGAAAUUCAAGGGAAAAUCACUAGAUUUCAAGGAAUCAAGACAUCAAAGGUGAAAUUUCUUAACUCUAGCUUGUGAUCUAUCUUUCCUAUGCAUUAUUUUGCAUUUUUCAUGGUUGAAUCACAAGAUAUCAUGAAGGAUAGUGUGCUGAUCAAAC